GAGAGUAUAGCUCAGUGGUAGAGCGCAUGCUUAGCAAGCAUGAGGUCCUGGGUUCAGUCCCCAGUACCUCCA
rnacentral:tRNA from 1 species